rnacentral:rRNA from 1 species
UUCCUACGGGGGGCAGCAGUGGGGGAUAUUGCACAAUGGGGGGAACCCUGAUGCAGCGACGCCGCGUGGGCGAUGGAGUACUUCGGUAUGUAAAGCCCUAUCAGCAGGGAAGAAAAUGACGGUACCUGACUAAGAAGCCCCGGCUAAAUACGUGCCAGCAGCCGCGGUAAUACGUAUGGGGCAAGCGUUAUCCGGAUUUACUGGGUGUAAAGGGAGCGUAGGCGGCGAGUUAAGUCAGCGGUAAAAUUUCGGGGCUCAACCCCGACGAGCCGUUGAAACUGGCUUGCUAGAGUGGG